CUUUGAUUUCGCUGUGAUAGUGAUUUGUACCUGGAUUCUGCCGUGAGAAUGAAAGGUUCAAUUGAUGAUUUGAUGAUUGAUGGUCACAGGGGAUUGGAUUUUUGCGAUGGGAUCUGGAAUUGGGCUAUGUUGAUUUUUAAAUUAAUGAGUUUAUCCAUGUCCAUAGAUUCAUAGAUUUUUAAAUUAAUGAGUUUUAUGCAUGUUGCGCCAUGUUGAUUACUGCUUUAUGACCAUGU
rnacentral:misc_RNA from 1 species